AAUACCCAAUCCUGACACAGGGAGGUAGUGACAAGAAAUAACAAUACAGGGCUUUCGUCUUGUAAUUGGAAUGAUGGUGAUGUACAACCUCACCAGAGUACCAAUUGGAGGGCAAGUCUGGUGCCAGCAGCCGCGGUAAUUCCAGCUCCAAUAGCGUAUAUUAAACUUGUUGCAGUUAAAAAGCUCGUAGUUGUAUUUCAGCCUCGCGUUUUUUCCCUGGUUUUGGGUCUUUUCGCUGGCUUUUUUUUUACUUUGAGAAAAUUAGAGUGUUUCAAGCAGACUUUUGUCUUGAAUACUUCAGCAUGGAAUAAUAGAGUAGGACCUUGGUUCUAUUUUGUUGGUUUUGAGCCUUGGUAAUGGUUAAUAGGAACGGUUGGGGGCAUUCGUAUUUAA
rnacentral:rRNA from 1 species